AGAGUCAGAAAGUGUAUUAAGCGUAUCAUGUUUGGCAUUAUAUAUGUGAAAUGAUGAAAAGCAAACUGUAAAAUUAUUUAAGCAAUCUGACUGGAGCCUAGGUCUGGCUCAAGGAAUAAUAUAUUUUUCAUUAGUUUAUUUUGCCAAGUAAAAAUGGCUUAUUUAAUCCACAAUCAGCAGUUAUAACCAAGUUACAACCGAAUAACGAAUAACAAGGAAGCCUACCGUCCCAGCACUUGAAUAAUGUGAACCAUAGUGAAAUUUUGGUAUCACCGGAUCAUCAAAACUGGAGUACCUCUCUUGGAACUUCGUUAAACGAUCAGCAUUUAAUGCACCAAUGGGCUGCAAGGAUAGAAAAUUAUCAAAUUUUGGUGGAAAGGCAACACUUUAAGUUGGAGCAAAAGUUGGAAAGCACUUCACCUUAGAAAGGUCACGAUAAGAAGAAGGAUUCGAGAGAUCCAAUGUGCUUGAACUGUAAUCUGAAAGAAUCCAAGGGAAAACUGGAUACUGCACGAUGGAGCAUAACUUAGUAAUUGAAACGAGAUGACUUCUUUAGACAAACGUCAGAAAGCAAAAUUUUCACCAAUGGAAGAAGGAAAGAUUUUACCUGUGUGAUAUCAUUAUAGCUGCGCCCAGCCAAUGUGUUAAGCUGCAUGAGAUAUUCAAAAUUGCUGAUCUGCAAAGGAUACACCAAUUAGCAGGUUCUCUGACAAUUUAACAGGAAAAAAGAAAAAGAGACACGGUUUGUAGAGCCUAGUCAGAUGAAGUGUUAUUCAAGGGUCAUUCUUCUGACAGACCUCCCACCUAGCCCAGCGUUCCAUAAGUUGGGUUCUCUUCAGAAGUUGUUCAGGUCUCUGCAAAAGAAGAGGAUUGUCUUAGUCCCUACCGUAAACAAGAAUCAGGUGUUCUUUUAUCGGUUAGUGCGUGUGUCAACCGGCAUGUAUAGACAUGUUUAAGAGUGCUCAAGCCCACAUAACACAAUCAUGCCAUAGCACAGGAAGAGCAUAUGUUGCAUUGCCCAAUGGGCAGGUUAGCGGCUGCAGAAUCAUCAGUACAACCAGGAAUUUUUAGCUUAUCAUCAUACAAGAGGUGAGAAAUAAAUAAAUAGAUAAAUACUGCAAGACAAGAUAACCUGAGUUGCCAGGUAAAUAUUGUUCAAAUGAGGCGGACGAGCUUGAACAAUAGCUCGAUAGGCAUUUCGUCUUCCAUCUGUGCUCUGAAACAAAUGAACCAAUUUAGAGACCAAUUAGCUGGAAACAGUCUGUAAGGGGUUCAAGUAUUGAAGCAAACAUGUUCUCAAAAGUAGUACCCCAAAGUCAAAGAAGAAGUUUGAACGAUCAACCAUAAAUAACUCCAAUGCACUUCUUCUCAAGAGAUAUCUGAAUAGGAGUAAGAUCACAAGUGAGAUCUCUACAUUGUAAAUGGUGCAUAAAUCCACUUUCUAAACAAAUUUUGCAAGAGAGAAAUAAAAGAAAUAAGGAAAUCGAAAACAUGAUAAAAGAGUGUCACCAUCAAAUUGUGAGAGAGAGAGAGAGAGAGAACAAGGAAGAAGAUGAUAAUGAACCACUUAUUUGAUAAGAACAAUGGGGAAAGAAAAAUGCAUCAAAGUGUAACUGCUUUAACAAGAUAAAGCUACGUGUGUGUGUGUGUGUGUGAGAGAGAGAGAGAGAGAACAGGAGGAGGAAAUGAAUACAAGAUAGCAAAAUACUAAUUAGAGAUUAAAGAAAAUAGCUAUGUGAACAGUGUCAUCGAGGAAUGGCAUCCCAACAAAUUAUGAUAUGCACCACACAUAUCAGAAAAGACAUAAAAGAGAAAGAAAAAGAGCACAACACGUCAAAAUCAUUUUAGAUGCUCUACUAGAAAUCUGCGACUAAUAUAUUGCGAUAUUGACAGGGUUAGAGGAAAGCAAUAGAGGCAAAUGGACAUGGUCCAGCUGCAGCAUAUAUAGGGUAAAACAUGAAAUAAAAUUAUAGACAUCUUACCUUCUACUAUAUAUUUGAUGAAGAGAAGAUAUUAACCAGCUUCGAUCCUUUUCUUCAAUUUUUGUUUCAUUUCUGCAGUCCAACCCAUCCCCAGAAGUAUUACUCUCACUGCUAUCCACAAUAAAAUUGAUUCUUCUUGUUGUUAUCUGAAAAAGAGCAUGAAUUCAUCAAUUAGCACAAUUAAUAUGAGAUAAUCCUCAUAUGCAUGCAUCCAAACCCUGAAAUCCAACCUCAAAGUGCUCCAUCCUAGAGUAAUGUGCAUAGGUUGACUAUACCGUGCAUUACAAUUCUUUACCUUCUCUAAGCAUCGUAAUUGCCUAUGUAAUAGGCCUAAAAUAAAAUACCGACAAAUGGUAAUGUCAUAUCAAUUUGAGAAAUAUCCAUGGAAUUUUUGACAUCAAGGUUGGACAGAUCAGAAUAAAGAUAAAAUAUAUUGUAUUUCUUGGUCUGUCAUACAAGUGUAACAUAGAUAUGGCAGAUCCAAUGGAGAAAACGAAUCCAUUAACAGUAGUAUCAUUUAGGAAAAAUCACUUCCCUUGUCUUGUCCUACAUUGCUCAAAAAUUCUGCUUAGUACAUUGUCCUAAAUACCAAAAGUGAAGUGAAAUGGGAUGACCAUAUAGGAACCUUUUAAGAUUCCAAGAGAUAUAUUUCAAGGCAUCAAAAAAUUACUAUCUUUAGCUCUACAUGUGCAAAUCUAAAUAUAUAUUCUCUAAUUACCUCAACCAUAUACACCAAGCUCACAUACACAUUGUAGCAAACUAUGAUGUGAGUAGAAACAACAUACAUUCCUAGUUGCCAUAUGCUGCUAUUAAAGAUAAAGAUAUGUUGAACUUACUUGAAAAGUCCCUCUUAGUAUUUUUAGUGGGCGAACCAUUGAUGAAGGAAGUUCAAGGACAAUUCUUUCAUCAUGUUCACUUGGAACAUAACCUGGGGCAACUACGGCUGGAUUUUGUGCCAAAUCUUGGUUGUUUGUAACAGGGGCAUCUCUUGACUCCAAAGAUGUCCUCAGGGGCUGGUCUGCAGUUUCAGUUAUCCUUGACUGAAUGUCACCAUUCAGGUUUGUGUGUGUUGACUGACCCCCAGGAUUGGCACUGUCCUCUUGGUCAUCAUCUGCAUUCAAUACCUCGAUUGAGAUAGCCUCUGCAGCCAACAUAGAGGCCUUAGAUGGAGUUACAACACUAUCUUUAUCUUGCUUCAGCUCUGACGGUUCUUCAUAAUUUGCAGCAGCACCAAAAUGAUCCGAUCCAUGGUAAUUUCUUCUCAAGUAUCUCCUCAUCCUUGAAGAACUUUCCAUAAAAUCCAGCUUCCAGAAGAUCUGAAAGUCAAUAGUAUUAGUUACAUGUCUGAGGUAAAAAUUGAAUCAGAUGAAUGAAACUUUAAGUCCAGUCACAUACACGUUGCGGAUUGCACAAACGAUUACCAAAAGGCCCAAAGAGGCAUUCCAUAUCUAUCAAAUAGUGAAUCAGUUUCCGCCAUUCCCGAAUUCCAGUGCAUAGACGAUGGCGAGAAAUUACCUCAACUUGCAUGCGUCUAUCAACCUGAAAAACACAAGAAGAAAUAGUAAACACAUAUACAUUUCUUUCGUUUAAAGAAAGCCGACAAAAAAGAAAAAGAAAAAGGAAGCAGCAGGUGAAGGUACACAAUUUAAACCUCCAAUCUUUGCAUGUUUCUUGCUAAUGCUAAACUUCCAACAAGGACAGCAAUAAAUUUAUAUGAUAGGGCAUUAAAAUCUUUGCCAUAAACUGCUUUUGUAUCAACUGACUGCAAGCAUUCCAUCCAGGCAGUCCCCAUGGCAUCAGAAACAUUCCAUCGCUUUACACGCCCCAUAUCACUCUUAUUCCGACGCUGUGCAGAGGUAGCCAUUGCCACAGCACUGAGACCUCUUCCAGAACCAAUUUUUGCAUUGCGUUCAAGAUCUCUUGCAGCAGCCAAUGCAGCGGCCUUUGCUGCAGCCUUGUCCUUUGGUGCGGCAGGAGAUUUACUAGGUGCCUCCAGAGGCUUCUGAAAGCUCGAAAAAGUAUGAAGCCUAGUUGUUUUACGCUCGAGCAAUGACGAAUCACGCCUGAGAUGACUAGUUGUUGCAGAUACAGUUGUUUCCCCACCAGCAGCUCCAGCAGCAAUCAUCGCCAAACCCAUAGCAGCAGGUGGUGAUGCAAAAGCAGCAGCCCAGCUAGGAGAGAUCAUGGCAAGAGCAGCCUAGAUAAUAUGAAGGUGUUACGAUUGUUGGAAUCACAGAUAAGUAAAUAAUCAUAUAACAAAUUACUAGGAAAGAUAAAGUCUAUGACAAAGAAGAAUUGCAUAUUACAUGAUUAUGCAUUAGCAAAGAAUUUAAGAUAUCUCCUUUUAUGUCGGGAAAGAGAAGACUAAAUUCAAAGAUACUAACUACUAAUAUGUUCAAAGCAACUACCAGAAUUCUUGAUUAAAUGAGAUAGAUAGAAAGAUAGAUAGAUAGAUAGACAGAGAGAGAGAGAGAGAGAGAGAGAGAGAGCACAUCUUUUGCUGAACAAAAAGCAGCUGUCAUUGGCAACUUGGGGUGAAAAUUAUUCGACAUUGUUGAAAAUAUACUGAACUACAUUGUCUUCCUACUUUUCUGGGCCAAGGAGAGGGGGAAGGGAAGACUGAAGUGACAAAUUUGUGGUUGUUAGGAGGAAGGCUUUGCCAACCAACAAGAUGUCCCUUUGUGGUAACAAACUACAAAAAGCAUGUCUUUCAGAAAAGGAAGCAGAUGGAUGAAACUUGGUUCAGAAACUGAAAAAUGAUUCAAAAAAGCUUUUCUUCCAACUUGCUAUGUGUCCAUUGAAAUAUGACUGACUUCCCUGUAACUCUUCUAUGUGUCGUCGUAAAUAACCAUGAUAAGUGACAAAAGUGCAAAACAACCAACUCCCUCCAGCCAUCGACUCUUAUUUAUUUAGUUAUUUAUUUUAAGUAAUUUUCUGCUGGGAAGAUAACUUCUACACAAUAUUUAUGAAAAGGAUCAAUUACUCCUGAUAUGGACACAUUCGCCUUUGCUGUACAUUUUGCAAAGCUGAUUAUGGAACAUGAUUGUAAAGAAAAAUCAGAACCAGCUAAAGCUACUAUUGGGUAGAUUCAGAUUAUAGCUUUUGCGGCUAUAAAAAUCUAACACCCAAAUGCAAAAGUCAAAGAAAAUAUUUAAAAAAAAAACUAUUUUUCCAUAAUCAGAAUCUAAAAUCAAGUUAAAUAAUCAAAUGAGAACAGCAGGAAUGAUAAGUUGCGGCCUAUAAAACUCCAAAGUAGGAAAUGUUAUAGCAUUUCAACAAAUAUAGCAGCCACCAUAAUGUAAAAUGGAUUAGAAAUUGUUACUACCAGAAGCCUACCGAAUUGAUUUCAACUGUAAAAGAAGAGGAAGCGCUCUUCAAGGGCAGAGGGUAAAACAUGUUAUGAUGCAUUUAGGUCUAGACCCAAAUUACAUCAAAAUAGAAUUUUCCAAUUGAAAUUAGGAUAUAGCAGAGGUUAGUUCAGCUACCUCAAUAGGCAAAGCAUCUGCAGCCAAUGCACGGUCUUCUAGAACAAGAGGAUUCAAACCAUCAGCAGUAGCAAGUUCAUAAAUUCCAGCCAAAAGGGGUCGCCACCUCCUUAAAAGAGCAACAAAUGGUGGCAAUAUUGUCUCCAGAUACUGCUUACGCAGAGGAAUUCUAUCCCUGCUGACAGCAUGCCACACCUGCAAUAGACAUGCAAUUUUCACCAAAAAACAACAAAGUGAACCAAAUGCUUGUGUUCUCAUAAAGAAGCAAUGACAGUUGAACCCCAGCACCCCAAGAUGACAUCAAGUCAAUUCAAACAAAAGCAGCUAACUAUAUUGCAGGGCUGACCUCAGAAUACAGAAUACAUGCUGCAACCAACACUCUCUGCCUCUUGGACUCAGAAACUGGCAUGUUGAGGACAGGUGAGAGCACACUGUACAUAUUGAGUGACAAUCAGUUUGACACCAUGGAUUUGGUGAAAAGAAAAAAUUGGCAAGUCACAGGCAAGAAAGCUGAACAAAAUGUCCUGCUAAUAACUAAAUCAUCAAAUUCAUGUCAUUAAAUAAACAGUAAUUAAAUAAAUAAUUAAAAACAAAUCAAAAAGCCUAAUUAAGCAAUUGAACACAAUGCUGCACAAGUCUCCCAGUAUGCUGUUCAGAUUUAAAGCUUCCAACUAAGCAACCACUCCCAUACUUCUGUCACAAUCAAGUUUAAAGGACAAUUUAUAAAAAGUCUAUGAGUUGAAGGUGUUACGCAUCUUAUUACGUCCUUUAUCACAGCCAAGUUAGUGAAAAUAUACAGUCACCAGAUUCUGUAACCGAAAUUGGAGGCAAUAGUGCAACACCAAAAUUUGGCUAGCAGGAGACCUUUUACUUAUGUUUCCUCAAAUAUCAAAGAAUACAAAUGCUUCAAGAAGCCUUUUAUUUCCCAAGUGUGCACAUUUUGGGACUAAUGGUCUACAUUCUGAAGGAAGGAUAAGAAAGGAAUAAAAAGAUUAAGAGAUGCAAGUCACUCGUAUGAUUCCUCACACAGACUGAACUAAACAAGAAAAACAAAAUUCAAUUCCGACAAGUCGUAGAAUGCUGAGACAAAACGUACAGGUGGAUUCACUCGUAGAUAAGAAAAAAAAGAAAUGAUGCUGAAAACUUGCAGAAUAUGAUCUUCCACCUUUUCCCCUUAAUCUAUUAAUUACUUUCAAGCUACCUCAUGAUCUCCAGUAAUACUCAUCAUUUAGUUACAUUAGACUGAUGGUGGUGGAUUGUACGGUCCUGACUGUAGAUGGAAUUAUGUGUAAAAGGAAGUGCUUUUAGCUUCAGCAACAAGUGUGCAUAUUGAUUUACAUAUCUAAUAAUGCAACUUUCAGCCUACAGAUUAAAAAGCCUGACACUGAAAUUUGCAAGUUAAAGGAUUCAAGGCUACUGUGACUGGUACAUGAAGGGCAGGUGAAAAUAAGCCAGAAGUAGCAGAAAGCCAUUGAUCACCAAGAAAUAGGAAAAGCAAACAUUUUAGAAAGACUGUAGCUACAAAUUUUAACAAAGUAAAGGAAACAUGAUUAACAAAUAAUAAGUACAUACAAACAUCAACUAGAAAUAAGAACAGAAAGAACUGGUAGAAUAAAAACAGGACCAGCAUAGCAAAUACCUCCACAACAAUGAGGAUCGCGGUUUUCUUGAUGACAUUCGAGCAUUGACGUCAAAAGAUGCAAUAUUACUUGUUUGUCGACGUGAAACUUCUGAUGAGCCAUCCUCCACAUCUACGAGCAUGCUGUCCUUACCAUCAUCAUCUUCCCUCAACGAAACAAGCACCAUUCGAAGCAUGCACAAGAAGGGUUGAUCACUGUCUAGUAACUGGUAAAGCAGAGCCAUGCCCCCCAUUCCAGUACCAGAACCUCCUCCAAUACCUAGGCCUCCACCAAGUCCAGACUCAUCUAAUAACAAAGCUUGAAGCAUGAAAACAGACUUUUUUAUCAGAGGCAGUUCAAUCCAAUUGCCAUUUGCAUCUUUCUCCAGCGCUGAUUUCCAAGCUUCCCUGCCACUGCCACCACCACCAAAGGCUGAUGCAUUGGAAGGUUGGCCAACGCCAUACCACAAUCUACUCCUGUACUUCCAUCCUUCAGUUAAAUCCAUGACACAGCUUCCAUAGGACACAAAAGCACAGGCAACUGAUUCAUAAGGUUCAGCAGCUGCAGCAGCAGUAAGUCGUUCCAUAACAGCUGCAGAAAGUUGUCCGUUGGCAUCAGCCAUAGAAGCAAGAACCUAAGUUGAAAGGAAGAAAAAAUGCAUUUAACUUUUGAAAAGAAAAAAAAAUGUUCGGCAAAUCACUGGAACAAAUGCUAAACUAGAAAUUUGAGUCUCAAGCUAUAAAGGCCACUCAAUAAUGGAUAAUUUUCUGUGUAAACCUGUAGUGCAGCAUAUAAUGUCUGACCCAUAAAAGAUUAGCAAGACAAUCACUAGAGGACAGCAAUAUUCAUAACGGCAUAUGAAAUAAACUCAUCCUAUCAUUUGUGCUCACGAGGAACAAGUCUCAGAAUUUAAAACAGAAAACCACUAUGUUGCAGCUUUAAAGUUUGACAGCAGGCAAAAGCACCCAAAAAAAAAAAAACACAUAGUUUCUCUAAACACAUAGUAAGCAUUCAGCAUGAAUAGCCACAUAGCUCAUACAUACAUCUAAAGGUAGUCCUGCAGAAUCACCAGAUGAUGAUUUACGUUCAGCCAGAGUUUCUAGAGGUUCUCCAACUAUAGUUGAAGAGUGACCCACAGGCAAAACAGUUGAGAGAGGAGAAGGAGAGACAGCAGGGAAGCGUGAAGUCGUAUAGAUUUUGCUUUGCAAACGCAAAUGAUCUUCAACAAGCAUUAAGAUCACAAUAGCAUUCUCCACCAAAGCCACUGAAACUUGCGCAGCAUUUUCAGCUUCCAACUUUGCUAACUUGGGUGCUAGCCCCUCAGCUGCCACACCAGCAGAAGCCGCAGCAAUAACUUGAGUCUGCUACAAAUGAAAAGCUUAGAACAUGCUCAAGUACCUCAACUUCACUACUAAGUCUCUGAAGUUAAGAAAGCAAGUUGGCAGCAAGACAAUACUAAAAAGACAUGCCAGCAAAAUUUACACUAUCUGCUAUGCCUAAUAGGCUAAACAAUGAAAUAGGAUAAGACAAAAAAAAGAUAGAAAAAUGGCAUAAAGGUAACAAAGGUGAAAAUAUCAUGAUCUAACAUAUUUGAAACAGAAAAAGACAAAGGAAAAAUGAAGAGAAAUGAACAAAUAUCACACAAUCAUUGUGUGCCACACCUGCCUCCUACCCCACAGGAGAGAGAGAGACUUUCAAAUCAUGACACUAAUAAGAAAAAUGAAAAGUUUCAAUAAAUUACAUCUCAAAUGGUAAUUAAAAUUAAAAACUGUCCAUUUGCAACUAUAUUCACCAAUCAUUUUCUUCAUCUCCAAUUAAUGUAUGUGUUAAAAUUAUCUCUAAUUAUUAUAUUCUUAUGUGUGAUAAUUAAAGCUAACUAUAUUUUAUAUGCAUAUUGGUUUAGAAAAAAAAAUCACAAUUAAUAAGAAGGCAAAAGGUUGUAAUCAGUUACAGAGAAAACAAAAGGUUAAAUUGAUGAUUAAAUUCACUAUAUUAUGUCAUAUUGACUAAGAAAACUACCAAAAAAAUUGUCGAUAAUUAUAACAAAUAUAACAGAAAAGGUUUAUUACUACUGAAAUUGAUAAAAAUUUGUUGUAUCCAAAUCAUAGUGUUUUAGUAUGUAUUUUGCUCAGGUUUUGUUGUAUACACUCGUUUGACAGAACAUAGAAAAUUUCCUCUUCUUAUUGUCACAAUCCAAGUAAAAUAUGCAACAACUUAGUUUAGAUAUGAUAAUCUUCCAUCUUUAGAGUUCCAUAAACUUUUAAUUGCUUUGUGUAUAAUAAAUGUUUUCUACAACUAGCAAUUGCUUAAUUUUGUUUAUUAUAUGGUUUCUUAGUCAAUAUUAUACCAACAACUUAAUUUAAAUAUGAUAAUCUUCCAUCUUCAGAGUUUUUAUAACUGAAGAAUGCACAAUUAACUAUUAAUUGCUUUGUACAAUUACCAAUUGCUUAAUUUUGUUCAUUAUAUAGUUCCUUAGUUUAUAUUAUGCCAAUAAUCAAAGUUUUGCACAAAAAUUUAAUAUAUUAAAGGUUUGAUAUUUUAGAAAAAAUAUAUUCACGAGCAAGGCACGUGAGUCAUUACUAGCGAAUCAAAGUUCAGUAAUGUUGGUGAAUGGAUGAGUAAAUAGAAGCCUAACUAUAGAUCUACAUGAGUAAACAUGUCCCGCAUGCAUUACCUGCUUCCUAGGAUAACCAAUUGUUCUACUGAUGGAUGAGAAUAAAUAUGCCAUAGCUUACAGUAAUAUUUAACGCAGAGAAGCUCACUGGAUCAACACAUUGCUUACUCUGAAUUAGAACUUAUGCAUGUACAAUCAUUAGUUGGGCUUCUAUUUUCAUGCAAAAAAUAAUAAGGAAAGUUACUUUAACUUGAAAAAAAUCAACUUAAAAGGGCCUAAUAAAAAAAUCAAUCCCUUGAUAAAUGAACCACAGGAUAAUAUCCAACAACAAAAUAAAACAAGGCAGUAUGAGGAGAAAGUUUGACAUUUAAGUGGAGGAACUGGAGUUCAACAUAUGAGGUUACCUGAACCUGAAGUUCUCUGGCAGCAAAGUCUAGUAAGUCACUCAACAGCCUUCUUUUGAACAUAGGCAAUGAUUCCUCACGUCUGUGGCAGGAAAAAUAGCAUUGAAAUUGAUGUUUUAGUAACAAUGCAAGUAUUCAUGUUGCUCUUAAACUAAAAGAAAGCUGUUAUAAUUUCAGGUAUAAUUUCAGGUAAAGAAAAUUAUAGUGAAUGAAGUUAGAUGCUGUCUCACACUGUAAGCAUGACUGUAUCAACAGAAAGCAACCUCACUAGUCACAUUAAAGUUCAUAGUCACCUAAAUAGCUUAUAUAAUCAGUAGUCAACAGCUUACAUAAGCAUAAAUGUUAGGCUUCAAUGUCCAUGGAAGAUUAUUACCUACUAUAGAUGCCAAUCUCACAGUGUUUAGUUUCACAUGUUAAAACCCCACAAACUGUUAAUUCACAUGUAUAAAAUCAGACCGAAAAUAAAAAUCCGAUAAGAAAAAGAAAAUAGGGUUUUACUCAGUCCAUUAUAUCCCAAUAUAUCCCAAUAACCCCUCUAUAAUGGCAAAAGUUGACUACAUAACAAGAAACCUAAUUUGCUAUCAUAUGUGUAAAAGAAGCAAUUACAAUCAGAGAAGCACCAAAAGAUUAACAAUAAUGAAGCAUAUGAUGUGGCUAAUUGAAGUAAAAUUACACCAUACCAGGAAAGAAGGUACUAAAGUAUUCGGUAUAUUACAGAAGAAAAGGUACAACCAAUUAAGUCCAACAAAUAUCAUCUAAAAUAAUGAAUUUGCACCAAAUUAAGCGUACAAGUGUUGACAUACAACAGAUUAUUUCAAAAAGUCCUUUCUUUAUGCUUCAACUUAGUUAAGAUAUACAAAACCUCACCAAUUAGUCCUUCAUUCCUAUUUAAUCCUUCUGGAAAAUUAUAAGUCCUAUCAAACAUUUUAGGACCAUUAAGCCCUAGUUGAUAAGCACAUCUAAAUGAUUCUGAAGUAGUUGUUCCUUAACUCCUUUUUUCCAUUUUAACCUUUGAAAUUCAAAGCUUCAAAUGAUAAAAUGUGGCAAUCCCAUUUUUAGUUUCUUUCGAUAUCUAUCAUAUAUGAAAAGUAAGGAAGUUCUUAUCUCGAAAAUGUGCAUGCUAGUACAAGCAAUAUUUCUGAUAAAGCAGCAGAAAUGAUACAAGCAAUAUUUCAUGGGACAUGUAGUGAUCUUUCUCCUGAGAAGGUGAACAUCUCAAAAGCACCCCAAUUCUCUGCCUCAUCCCUUUUACAAAUUUACCUGUCCAUUUGGCUACUAAUUAAUGUCUUACUGUUCCCACUUUUCCUGGCCUAAAUCAAACACCAAAUUCCUAUUAGCCCUAAAACCAGGAGUGCUUCUAAGCAACUCAUAAACCCUUCUCCACUUUUAGUUCAAUGCUUGUGUUUUCUAGCCAAUUUCAUAAGCAAACCCACACCUAGUUUUCCAUAGCUAGUUCACUCAUUUGGUAUAAACAUGGUCUAGAAAACAGUAUACCAACAUCCACAAAUAGCUUCAUAUAAGAAAUCCCUAAAACUAACAAAGUCAAACUAUACAUCUCUCAGUUGUUCAGAAGAAACAGGCAACCUUAGGUCCCCCACAAAGGCAAUUUAAACCACUCACAAUUUUUUUCUUUGUUUGUUUAUGAAGGGCAGAUGCCAGCAUAGAAUGAGUACUCUGAAGCAGCCUAUAAUCUGCCAAACAACAUCCAUCCAAACUUCAACACAACUGGGGUAGACUCGCUAAAUCCAAAAGAAGUAUGUAGAACAAAAACCAGUUCAAUAACCUAAAAGGGUACUCUACACCUUUAAAACCCCUUCUGUGUCCUUUCCCACCCUAAAGAAUUCUUCAAAAGUAUCAUUCAAAGCCGAAGUUUCUUUCCUCUUCUUAAAUAACCUGACUUGAUCAUAGCAUCACAAGGUAAAAGCACAAAACUUUUUGGAGUUUCAGGAUUCUAAUUACUCAGGACAGAGUGCCAUAGCACUUAAAUGCAACAUGAUGUUCACAUGAUGCAACACCAACCCCAAGAAGCUAUGAAUUGCAUUAACAUGGGAUAACCACAGCCCUCAAAGGUGUUUACAGUCGUUAUUAGUUCAACAAUAAUAUCACCCACACAUGAUUGAAGGCUUCAAAUUACCAAGUACAUAUAAACAAGAAGGACAUGCACUUGGAGACAUGCAAGCAACAGAAUGACUAAUUUCAUUAGCUCAUACAACCAAAAGGAAGCCACAGUUUACUAUUAGAGGACACAAGAAUAUAGGAACGCCACUAAGAUUACUAAUGUUCUUUCCAAGACAAACUUAACAUGGAAACUAGGUCCAAUCUCAAUAUUGUGAAUUCCUACUGUAUCUUAGACCUUCUGAAAAUCAGUGACCAUUGGAGGCAGUUAAGACAAACAACAUAAGUUGAUAUUUUCUAACAAUUUCAGAAAGGUAGAACUGAUAUGUAGUGGCACCUGAUUCUUUGGUCUCCUGUGCUAGAACCACCCACCAUCGAGAGCCACUCUGCACAAUGAAUUGUAGCUUCAAUAUCCUGUCAAAGCGAAGUAUUCAACGAAUAACAUGAAUGAAGCGGAAGGAGACAGAAGUUUAGAAGGUUAUACAGAACAGAAAGGUUCGUCAGAUACCAGAGGGAAAAAAAUCAAACAUACAAAAACAAAGGUGAAGCUCACAGAAUUAUGUCAGGUAGCAAUCAAGUGGAGAGGCACUUUGAUAGGCUACUACACCUUAAGCAACAAAAUACUACAUUUUGUUCUCUUUUCUUCCAUAAACGAAGUACUAUAUUGGCAAGCAAUAUAAGAUCCAAUGCCAAAAUUAAUGAGGCCCUAGUCUCCUUUAUUGACUCUAAUUAAUGGGUCUAUAAAUAGACAACAUUUACAUAGGCCCUGUUUGACAACUCAAUUCAACGCUUAAUGGGUUCAAACCUUAAUAUGUUCAGACAUGUUUGAUAACCAAAAAUAGAAGGUCUUAGGUUCCAUAUGAAUUAGGUAUUUUUUGGGUGUUUUUCAAAAAUUUUUCUAUGGCUGUAUAUGUGAAAAACUUUUACUGUAGAUAGUUAGAUGUUUUUAGAGGUAGGUUCCACAUGAAUUAGGUAUUUUUUGGGGUGUUUUUCAAAAAUUUUUCUAUGGCGGUAUAUGUGAAAAACUUUUACUGUAGAUAGUUAGAUGUUUUUAGAGGUGUUUUUGAUGAUGUAUUUUGGGAUAUUUUAGAAUUUAAAAUUGUUUUAGGGCAUUUUUUGAAAAUUGAAAAUAAUACCACCCAUCACCACCACCACCCACCCCCUCCCUCCUCUCUCCCCCCUCUCCCACUUUCUCCCCCUCCUUCCUCCUCCCCUCCCCUCCCUUCCCCCGCCUCCCCCAUCCCAUCUGAUCGCAGCCUCUGUUUGGCACCCCCUGUUUGGAGCAUUUCAAAAAGAUUUUUCUCUUUUAAACCGCCUUCUAUAGUAACUUGCUAAAAACACCCCAAAACACCUAAAAUAGAUACUGAACAAAAACACCCCACCAUCACCUCCACCCUUCCACCGCCACACCCCCUCACUCAUCCUGUCCUAGGAGGGGUAAGGGAUCAAGGUGGUGGUUAGGAGGUGGUGGGGAGGAUUGAAGGGGAGAAGGAGAGGGGUGGCAGGUGAGAGAGGGACAAGGAGAGGGAAAAAGGUGUUUUGGACAAACACCAAUAUAUCAUAAAACAUCUACAAUAAGCUCCAGUAAGUUUUAGACAAACACACCAAAAACCACACCAUCUAAACAGACCCAAAAAUCACUAACAAAUGUUUAUUUAUUAGGUAAGUUAAAGAGGAGAUGGCAAACUUUGCCAUUGCCUUGAUAUACUUUAUAUAGGAUACUGAUAGAAAAAUGAUUCAAUUGACGGCCUGCAAUCAUCUAAAUAUCGCAUAAUGUUUCAAGUACACUUGCUAAUUACUUUCAAUAUUCUUUUUUUAGAUCUGUCAAAGUGUAUUUUGUAUUAUCUUGUUGUGGAUUGUGAUUUUUUUAUAGAAAAUUUUUACCAUUUUUCGUAAUACACAUUUUUCAUUUAUGCCUUUUAUUCUCAUAUACAUUAAAUUAGUUACAGUAAGUUUUUUUAUAUUAAAAAUUCUAAAAAGCCAAUCCAAACGAAAAUUCUGUGAUCCUCAUUUUAACGUAAAAGUUUAGUUAAGUCAGUAGUAUUUCAUUACCUUUUUUCUUUUCUUUUUUUUUGAUUUUUCUUUCUAUAAGUCUAGUUUCGGAUGUUUUUGUCCCUAAAUGAUAAAACAAGGAUAAGAAAAGCAAAAAAAACACCAAGUAAACCACCUUGUAAAGUUAAGCACACUGCACACAUAAACAUAGGCCUUAAUCCCUGUUUUGAUUGGCCAUUAUUUGCAAAAAAUAAAAUAAAAUAAAAUUAUUUGCUUGUUUCACAAGUAUCAUUUUCGAUCCUAUUUUUUAUUUUACAUGCACUACAUAACCAAAAAAGAAUAAAAAUUACGGUAAUCAUUUAAAAAAUUCAAAAUAAUCUCGUAUCCAAAUACAAGCUAAUUAUUAGAGCUCCUUUCUCUAUCUUGGAGAGUGUACAUUGAUUUCUCUCUUUCAUAAGAGUUCUAAAAAUUCAAACACAAAAUUCAAAAACACAAAAGGCCCAAGCUCUAAACUUCAGUGAAGAUAUAUUCAAUGCUCUGAGGAGAUUAAAUCAAGGAAGGUAAUGGGAAUUAAAAGCUAUUGUGGUAGUUUAUUGAUCAUUCAGUAAAAGGACGAAGCUCUGUACUUAGUCAUAUGCUGAUGACAGGUAAAUUUGAAGCUAAAAUUCUGCACCUCUGUUUGUUUCUUUAGUAUGAUAGUUAGGUAGCUGUAGUGUUCUGUUUCCUUUAGUGUUGUACAUUGUGCUCUGUCUCUUGUUGUUUCUUUGUUUUUAGCAGCAUAGUGUCAGUUUCUUCCUGAUUUUCUACUCUAAUACUCUUAUAGUUAGCUAGUCACCAUUUAGAGGAAGUGUGGUAUACUGUGUUAAACUUUUGUAGACACUAUGGAGAAUGAACUAGUAGGAAGAAUACAAAAAUUUGUUCUUUCGAGCAGAGAGUUGGGGAAGGACAGAUUUGGAUUUGGAUUUAGGAGACACUGGCUCGGGAAUAAAGGAUAGUCAAGCCAGUUUAGUGGGAAGAAUAAUGAGGAAAAAAAUAGUUAACUAUGUGGGUGUCAAAAUUUUUGUUACUAUAGCCUGGGACUACUCUAGGGAGAUAAAGAUAGUGGAACUAGGGCCUAAUUUGUUCCAGUUCAGUAUGCCAAAGGAAGAAGACAUAGUUAGAAUCUUAAAUGGAGGACUAUGGAUCAUAGAUAGUCAAAUUCUGGUGUUGAAAGAAUGGGAAGAGGGAACAGAAGAAGACAAUUCAGCAUUUAACAUAGCUCCACUAUGGGUACAAGUUUGGAACCUGCCAAUUCACUGGGUAUCUAGAAAGGUUGGAACAAAAUUUGGGACUGUGUUCAAUAAGGUAAAAGAGGUUAUCAUCUCAUAAAGUGGAGGAAAAAAAGGAAGGCACAUUAAGCUGUUGAUAAUGGAAGACAUAUCACAACCCUUAAUGAGGGGAUCGAUAGUGAAACUCAAUGGUGUGAUGAAAUGGAUUAGGUUCAAGUAUGAAUGGUGUCCAGAUUUUUGCUAUAAGUUAAUGUGAUGUUGUUGGAUACAGUGAAAGAAACUGCAAAACAGUAAUGACAGUUGAGAGAGGGCAACAAGAGAAUCAGUAUGGCUCUUGGAUAAGAGUUAGAGGAGGGAGAGUGUCACCUCAAAAGUCCUAUACAACAAGCAUGUAUAACAAAGUCAAGGUACUUUAGGGUUUCAAGGAUGGAAAAUUAGUGCCUUAAGGGUCCUCGGAGGAAGAGAGAGGUAGAUAAUGAAAACUCUGAUAGAUGAUGCUAGUGCAAUAGAGAAAAAGGCAAUUAUUGUAACAAAUGUUAAAGAGAGGAUUGGAAAGGAGUGGGAGAAAGGAUAGUUGAAGCAGUUAUUGGUGGGGAAUGAAAAGGCUCCUAUAGAUAACCCCACUCAGAGAACUAGUCAGAAUGAUGUUAGUAGUGAUCAAUACUCUAGAAGGAGUCUCAUAUAGGAAGGAAUGUAUGAAUUGAAAAUUAGAAACAAUGUUACAGAAAGAGAAGACAAUGAAGGAAAGUAGGAAAAUAAGCAAAAUCAUGGGAGGCAAAGUGGUCAGAAUAGGAAUAGGAAGGGAAUGGGAAGGGUCAAAAGGAAGAGGAAGGUAAAAAACAGAAUGAGGAGAGGGACCAAAUAAUGAUCGAUGAGGGAGCCUCUGGAAGAAUAAGGAUGGCUGCAAUGAGAAAAGAAAGGAGAAUGAGCAAACAGAUUAAAUCACCAGCAAAAAAAAAAAAAAAAACAGUCAUUGAAGGAAUUGAAUGGGAAGUACAACAAACAGAAAGUGCAAGAGAAAAGAAAAUUCAACUUAAGGGAUAAAGAUAUGAUGGAGGUAGAAGUAGAGGAUUAAGAUCAGAAAAGAAUAAAGUUAAUGACAAUAAGACAGAAGAGGUCAACAGGGAAGAAGGGGUGAAGGCCAGUCCAAUCUGGUCUUCAACACCAAUAUAAGAACACUAGUGUGGAAUUGUCAAGGUGGAGGAAGUCACUUGACAAUUUCCCAACUGAAGGAGGUUAACAACCCUCUCUCCCCCAACAUAAUCUUUUUGAGUGAAACAAAAAAAAAGACUGCUUUCACAAAAAAGGUGAAAAGAAGAAUGAAGUUUGAUGAGUGCUUUGUUGUGGAUGCUGUUGGGAAAUUAGGUAGUAUGGUAUUAAUAUGGAACAAUGAUGUCAAAAUAUUGAAGAUAAAUCAGUCAGCUCUAACCAUUGAAGCACAUGUGGUCGAUACAGAAACACAACUGGAUUAGUGGUUUAUAGGAAUCUAUGCAAGUUGUCAAGGCCAAAUUUAAAGGAACCAAUUGAGAGCCACUAAUAAGAGAAAAGUAUUAUGGGGAAGUAGAUGAUUAUAACAGGUGAUUUUAAUGACAUUACAUCUAAUGAAGAGAAAUAUGGAGGUAAGGCAAGAGAGGAUUGGAGCUUUGGGAAUUUUAGAAGUUUCAUUGAUGAGAAUAAACUCAUAGACAUAGGAUUUGAAGAUAAUCCCUCGAUCUGGUGUAAUAACUGGAAAAAUAAGGGACACGUGAGGCAAAGAUUAGAUAGAACUCUAUGUAGUUUAAACUAGUUCCAGUCCUUUGACAGAGUUAAAUGUUACCAUGUGAAAAACAAUGGUUCAAAUCACAGCAUGCUGAUGAUUGACAAUAGCCCUCAGAAUAGGAGAUCUUUCUUUGACAAGAGAUGGAUGCAACAUGAAGAUAUAUACCAAGUCAUUAGAAAUGCAUAAGACGUUAUGGUGGAUGGAUCAAAGAUAUUCAGGAUAACCAAGAAAAUUACAAACUACACAAUAGCUUUCUUAAAAUGGAACAACAAUUUCCAAAAUAACUCAAGGAAGAAGAUCAAUGUAAUCAAGCAUCAAAUAGAGAACCUGGAAAAAACAAAUACGGUAGACAAGAAAAAAUAAAUAAAGGAACUGAAAUCCCAACUGAAGAAAGCUUUUUAGAAGAAGAAUUGUACCAAAGCUAAAAAAUAAGAUGCAAUUGGCUUAAGGAGGGGCAUAAAAAUACACAAUACUUUCAUGCUUACGUCAAAGGGAAAAGGAAAAGGAACAUAAUUCAGAAUCUGCAAAGAGAGGACGGUUCUUGGACAAAAGAGGAAGAGGAGGUAGGAAGUGAGGUAGCAAACUAUUAUGACCAACUCUUUGACAAUCCUAGAGCAGAAUGUCUAGAUGAAGUUUUGGAUGGUAUACCACACACCAUUUCCAACCAAAUGAAUGAGUGUCAACUAGGAGAGUAGAUGAAGAGGAAAUCAGGAUAACAGUUUUUUCUAUGAAUCCUAACAAAUCUCCAGGUACAGAUGGGAUAAGUCCUUUAUAUUUUCAAAAAUUUUGGUACCUCACUGUAAUCCCAAGGAGGAUAUAAUCCCAGCUAUCCAAACUUUCUUCCAUACUGGACUGAUACUCAAAUCUUUGAACCACACUGUAAUCUCCCUAAUCCCCAAAGGGGACAAUCCCGCCAAUUUGAAGCUCUAUAGACCAAUAAGUCUCUGUAGAGCCCUAUACAAAAUUAUCUUUAAAAUUCUCUCCAACAGACUCAAAAAAGUCCUGAAUGAAUGUAUCAGUAGAAACCAAGCUGUUUUUGUCUUUGGUAGACAGAUUUUAGACAAUGUUAUUAUCUCCCAUGAAUUUUUUGAACUAUUUAAAGAAUAAAAGACAAGGGGAACAUGAGUUUUUUGCUUUGAAAUUAGAUAUGUCAAAAGCAUAUAACAGAGUGGAGUAGAAGUUCUGGGAAGAGAUUAUGAGAAGAAUGACAUUUUGUGAAAUGUGGAUCAAAUGGAUAAUGAGUUGUGUUUCAAGAGUUAGUUACUCUUUCUAUAUCAAUGGAGAUCUCAAAGGCUAAGUAACACCUAAGAGAGGAAUCAGACAAGGAUAUCCUUUAUUUUCCUAUUUGUUUUUACUGUGUUCUGAAGGCUUCACUAACCUAUUGAGAAAAGCAUAAAAGGAAAAGAGAAUAACCGGGAUGAGGAUAUGUAGACAAGGGCGAUCAAUGACUUAUCUAUUUUUUGCAGACAACACCCUAAUAUUUAGCAAAGUAGACAAAAAGGAAGCAGAAAAGCUGAAGCAGAUUUUGAAAGUGUGUGAAAAAAACUAAGAGCAAGUGAUUAUCAUGGAAAAACCCUCAGUGUUCUUUAGCAGAAAUGCACCACAAGAAGCACAGGAAAGAAUAAGUUCACAACUUGGAAAUGUUUAAAUAGUGACUCAAGGGAAAUAUCUGAAAUUACCAAUAGUCAUUACAAGGACAAAACAGCAAGUCUUUGGCAUCAUAAAAGACAACUAUGAGAAAAGGAUGAAACAGUGAAAGAAUAAACUUCUCAGCAUUACUGGGAAAGAAGUUCUACUUAAAGUAGUGGCCAUGGCACUGCCUACUUAUACAAUAUCCUGCUUCAAGUUACUAAUAGGGCUAUGUAAAGAACUAAGUAUCAUGAUGUCCAAUUUCUAGUGGGGAGAGGAGAAUGGGAGGAAAAAGAUCCACUGGUGUUCUUAGAAGAUAAUGACACAACAAAAGGAAAGAGAGGGGGACUAGGAUUUAGGGACCUGCAAAGUUUCAAUAGAGCAAUACUGGAAAAACAAGUUUAGAGGAUGGCCACAAACCCUAAUUCUCUACUAUCUAAGGUACUAAAGGCCAAAUACUAGCCCUAUGAGUCAAUCUUCAUAUGCAAAAUCAAGCAGAACUCUUCUUAGAUCUGGAAGAGUUUGAUGGAAGUUACGGACACAGUAGAAAAUGGAACCUUUAGAAAAAUUAAAAAUGGCAAGAGGACAAAAAUAUGGGAGGACAAGUGGAUACCAAGUAAUACUCAAGGAGCACCAACAUCAGCUAAGCCACAGGAUUGCACUAUCAAUAAUGUGGAACAGCUGAUCCAAGGUUACAGAUGGAAAAUGCCCCUUGUAUUUAAGCUUUUCAACGAUGAGGAAGCCGAGGGAAUCCUGAGGAUAUCCAUUAGUUUGGCUGACAAAGAAGUUAGUCUCUUCUAAAUACACAAUGGGAAUGGAGAAUACACAGUAACCUCAAUUUACAAUAAACUUAAUAGAAAUGAUCAUAUGCAGCAAAGAGAAGGCCAGAAGGAAGGGUCAAGUCUGAGGGAUGAUAAACAAUGGAAAGUCUUGUUGAAGAUCAACAUUAAACACAAGAUAAAGUUGUUCUUGUGGAAAUGUUUGAACAUAGCAUUACUAGUGAAUGAGGUCAUAUUCAAUAGAAUCAAAAUAGGAUCACCCGUAUGCAGAUGCUGUGGAGAGGACAUAGAAACUAUUGAACACCUAUUUUUUCAGUGCAGGACUACUAAAGAGAUAUGGCAUUUAGCUCCAUUGAAUUGAGACGGGCUUGAAGAUCAAAGAGGAGACUUUAAGAAAUGGGAGAGUUCUCUAACAAAAGCCAGGUGUAGAGUCGAAGGCAUGAAACAUGUAACCAUAACAGCUAAUAUUCUAUGACAGACUUGAAAAGUUAGGAAUGACAGGACUUUUGACCACAUAAAAAAACAACCAUUUAAAAUUGUCCAAAAGGCACAUUAUGAAUGGUUGGAAUAUAAGGAAGCUAAGGAUCAAGAGAAAAUGAUGAGCAUGCUGGAAACACUAAGAGCAGAAGAAAAGUAGCAAGAUAGGAAGGGAGGGUUUGGUCUCAUUCAUCUAAGUAUAGCAGCAAAACAGAAGACAGGAAGCCGGGAGACGGGAAUUGGAAUAGUGGCAGAAGGUGAUAACACACAGGUGCUAGCUCAAUGGGCCCUCAAGGAAGCUAGGGCAGGUAACAACCUCACGAAUCAAGCAGUGGCCAUUAAGCUAGCAUUAUGCAAGGCAAGAGAGCAGAAAUGGGAGAAGAUCAAGGUGAAGGUUAGACAUAAGCAAUUGCUGAAGAUGAUACAGACCAGCAACUCCAAAGACAUGGCAUUAUACUCUUAUUUAGAUGACAUCGGAAAUUUAUGCUCCAUGUUUGCAGAAUGCUCAUUUAUUUUGUCCAUUAAUCAAAUUGAGGAUAGAGCUGGAUAUGUUUUGAUGAGGAGUAGUUUCAUCCUCAGUGCCAAGGCGCACUUGUAUAGCUGACUUGGACAUUUGCUUAACAAUUGUAGAGUUUACCUAAUAUUAAUAAUAUUACUUAUCGUUUCUAGGGAAAAAAAAAUACAAGCUAAUAUUAUCAAGUGAUCAAAAGGCAUAGCCGCAUUAUGAGAGUUAAUUUUGGGCAGCCAUCCCAAUGAAGCAUUAUGCAAGUGUUUAUGCAAGAGGAGCUUCAAAGUUUGACGCAGCUUGGACCAGAACAAGCAAUACAAGCAGUGAAAUGGCAAAUCUUAGCAAAUUUGCUGCAGCUUUAACUUUAUUUCAAUAUGCGUAGGCAAAAAGUAGCUCGAGUCAAUUACAUAAUCAAAUCGUUUACUGGAAUCUACAGUGAUCAAAUCGUUUACUGGAAUCUACAGCUAAAGUAACUUUCUACGGAUUUCAGCGAUUAGAUCUGGUCCCUAUUGAGCAGUCAAGAUAAACUCAACAAUAACUUUCAUAUACUUGAAUACCAAAGAGGAAACGAAAAAAAAGGUAGAUCAAAAAAUAAAUGUAAUAUACACAUCUCAAGGGCUGCCUUCUCGUGCCUCAAUUUAACAGAACUUCCAACUCAAAAAAAUCUCCUCAACAGCCCUGUGGUACAUCUAGUAUCAUGUCACACCCUGUUGUAGCUGUACUUAUCCCACCUCUUAAACGUAUAUGAUACACUCACAAAGACCACUGAUGAAUGCACAAUGCUGGAUCAGUUUCUGUCAGAUGCAUGGCCAAGUUAAGCCGUUGAACGGGACAUUGUACAACGUAAAGCAAACUUUUCCCUGGUGUCCGGAUAAAUCCAGCAGUGCAUAAAAUCCAUCUCAUUCAAAAUUUAAUCAAUGUACAAGAUCUCAAAACUUUCAUUUUAUAAGAGGGCUGAGCCCAUCACCUUCCCAACCCAGCUUGAGCAUAUGAUCCACAACCUUCAAGCUUAACUGCAUGGCGGGGAGAAAAAAAAAAGUUUAAACUAAGUAAUCAAAUGCACAACUGUAUCUACAAUGCCAAAACUACAUCAGUUUCAACAUCUAGCUGAUAGUGUUAUUUAAGUACUCAGGCACAGCCACGGAGGACAGUUGUCUGAUGUUUACUUGUACAAAGAAAAUGUAGAAAGAUUUCUAUACUAUGACUAAAAGAUCUUUUUUCCUCUCAGUGUUUGAUGAAUAUGACUUCAUGAUCAUCUCUAGUUUGUGUUUUUGUUUAUGUAUGUUCCAGUCAUCUCUAAUGUGUGUGUGUGAGUGUUCUGCUUUUGUUGGCAUAACCUCUAGUGUGUGUUAUUCAACUGUAAAUUAGAAACCAUAAUUAUACUUUCAUGUUCAAUAAAGGAUGAAUAAACCACAUGAUUAAAACUAACAACAAAAUCGAAGGAUUUGGUAGAUCAACCCGCAAAUACCAGAGGGUUGACUACAAACAGGUAGACCUGAGUUACUUAUUAGAGGGUUGUGACCUGCACGCCCAAUUGGGCUACAAAGUCUUUUAACUUUUCCAGUCAAAACUUGCGAGAAAUCCAAACACGAGAACUAUUAUGACUUAUUACAGUCAAGUACAUUUUUCCCUGUGAGAAUCAGUAUUCAUGACAUUAAAGUUGAACCAAAAGAAAUUCCAUUGGGCAUUUGAUCAAUGACCAGCAGGUUCCAAUGGAAAACACAAUCAGGUAGCAAAGAGAACAAAAAGAUAAGUUUUGCUUGAUGACAGCUUUCAAACUCAUCAUCUCACAAGGAGCAGAGCCUAGUUGAGAAUUCACUGAAUGCAUUCAUAAGCUCAAUGAAAGUUAGCUAUCAGUGAGACAAUUAUAAUGGAAAGUACUAAAAUCACGAAAUGGAAAAUACUAGCUAGUCUCAUAGGACAUGACCCAAACAAGUAAGCUGUUGACUGAGUUUGAAAUCUUCUUUUCUCCAUCAGCAUAGGGAUUUGCUACCGAGAAAGAACAUUUCAGCCUUCCUAAACUGAGUGCCGAAGUUUAAGGUGGCAUGUAAUUAACAAAUCUAAUGAAUUGAAAAGUAGGAAUGCGUAAAUUCCUUUCUUUUACCAACCCAGAAAAAAACAACCACAUAAGAUUCCAGGUCCGAUAAUUUUGUGCACAGAAAGUUUAAAAGCAAAAUUUCAUACUUCACAUGGUUAGCAAGAGUAGAUAUGGUGUUUCUGCACAGAUCAGAAAGGUAGGUUCAACAAUCCAAUUUGCUCAAAUGAAAUAAUGCAUGAACAAAAUUCAGUCUAAAAACGAAGAGAAAGAAUAACUAGCACAAAGAGAAUAUGAAGAAUUCUUGUAUGCUUACAGCGGGGUCAGUGAAAAUUAUCAACUGUUUAUCAGCUGUGGACACAAUAAGAUAUGUGUUUUCCUUGUUCAAAGCCAUAGCCAUAAUGUCUUGCCCUUCUCCCAGUUUCAUGUUGUGGAAUACCUGCAAACAAUAUGAAAAUGCUAUGCUAGUACCAAUAAUGCAAGUUCUGAGUCUAGGAAAAGGUGCUUUUAACGUAAAGCAUUGUAACAUGGCAUGUCCCCUAAAAAGUAGACGAAGAUGUGCUAUUGUCUGAGUACAGAUUAUGAUUUGCUUCAUAAAUUUCAGUAUAUGCUUGCACUUGCAAUCCACGACUCGAGGAAAAUAAAUGAAUGGAUGAUACAUCUACAUUUUCUCACAUGAAACUAAAAGAUGGAGCAGUAAUCGUGUUCAUAAUAGAUAUACUCUUACCUUUAACGAAUGUAGAUCGAAGAAGCAAAUUGAAGGUAGUGGAAUACUCAAUCUGUUUUCUUCAUUUGAUCCAAUAUCAAAACUUUCACUUCCGGCUCUACUCUUCAAAUUUGUGCUGCUGUCAUAAACUCCAUCACUAUCCAGUGAAGGAUUUAGACCAACCAAAGCAAAAUGCCCAUCGACAGAAACCUCCAUGCAACUAAUGCUCGAGGCAGAAGGAAGUUGCGAUCUGGCAAUAAAAGUUCCAUUAAGAGAAAAGGUGCUUAGUGCAUUAAGUUGUUUACUCCAAGCCAAAAUUAUCCCAUCAGAAGAAAGACAGAUUGCAUGAGCCUCCACACCACGAAGCCUUCGGAUCAAACGUCCUUUUUUAAUCGAGUGAAGCAGCAUAUCCGACGAUUUGGAGCAUGAAGCAACAAUUCCAAGAUCAGAACUGACAGCACAGCACAAUAUUUCCCCAAGGUGGCCUCGCAGAACAUGUAUAGGACCCUCAAUACGAUGCCUCCUUUUUUCAGCUAAGGUGUUUGUAGUACUGCUGCUAGUGGAAGUUGGUGUGCUUGACGGAGUGGAUGGCUCAACUGUGCCACCUGAGCGAGAAGUGGAUGCACGAUGCAGUCUCCAAAGGAGAACUGUUGCAUCUCGAGAUCCUGUCACCAGAUAGCUGCUAUCAGGAGACAAAGCCACGCAAGUUACAGGAGCACAAUGUCCUCGAGCUAUUUCCAAGGUUUUUGCUCCAUCCACUGAUAUCAGCCUGACACUGUUAUCCACAUGGCCACCUAAACAAAUUUCCAAAAAAAUUGGAAGUUAUCAAGUAAGCUACAUAAAACAGAAUAAAAUCAAUCACUAGAAGCCAAGAAGAGUGGUUGAAACUGUAUCCUGGAAGAUCUAUAAGUUGUGUAGAGAAAGAAGGGCCCUUGAAAGUUCUCCAAACUGCCCAAUUAGAACCACUGUCCAAGCACGCUAAAUAACACUAGUCCAGCUUUUCUUGUAGAUCAUGGUCAGACAGCAUUAAUAAAGCCCAUAGCAUGUGAUCCAAGAAAAAAUGCACCGGAAUAUCAGUACUAUGGUGAUGACUAUUACAAGAAAUGAGAUAUUAUUUAAAUCCAAUAAGUAACACAACAAGCUCGUGACUGCAUUUUGUAGAUUCUGCAUAAAUCAAGAAUUUCUGUGUCCCUUUCUCCCUCGGCACGAUUACAAUGCAUUGAGAACUUCUAUGAAAUUCAUUAAGGAAGUUCUGCUUAAAUAUUUUAUUUUAGAUUUAGUACUCCCUGAAAAGCCAAGUAAACAUUUACAGUUUAAAAACUGAAAAUCAGAUCUGAAGAAAAUGGUGAAUAGAACUAUUACUAUAUGACUACAGGAUAUAUCAUAUUUGAUGAUAUUUUAUGUAAUUGCCAACAGCACAUUAUCUUUUAUACUAAAAAAGAAAUUACUUCCCAAAAUCACAAUAAUAUACAUCAAUGUGCUUACCAGUGACAAUCUCUUUGUCGCAUGUGAUGGCAACUAUAGCUGAGCUACUAAUACCAGAAGUUGAAUAAGCCAGUGACUGGGGAAAAUGCCAAUCCUCAGGCCCAGAGCCAGUUGGCCCUUUAAACAUGCGCAUAAAUGUUCCUCCAGCAGAACUAGCAUUAGGCUUCCCAUGUUGAAAAAGAAAAGGUGUCCCCUGACCAUCAGGGGUAUUUGGCUGCCAUUUAUGCUCCGCUAUAUGGGCAGCAGGGGCAUGUAGAUCAACAGUGAUAACAGAAUCUGAAGAUGCUAACAUGGCAGCAGCAGGAAUAUUGCAGCGUUCUGGAUGAGGAACUGCAUAAGGUUUAACUUCUUUGGGAUUCCGGAAGAUUGUCUGCUAGGAGGGAAUCAACUGAAUCAUUAGCAAAUCAAAACUUCCAAAAAGGGCAUGGUGGUAAACACAGAGCAGCAGCCUAGUUAUGGAAAAAGUGGUGACCUGUGACAAAUACAAGAUCACAAGGCAUAAUUCUCUAGGCCUCUUGAAAACUAUUUUAGAACAUCAAUUCUUUAAAAGCUUUGGAUAAAGUUUUAAAUUAGACCACAUAACACCCAAUACUAAAUAAGUAAGCCACUAGUCGAACAAAAAGGAUGACAGCUACUCUUAAAGAUUGGCAGCUGUGCAGGUCCUCUGGUCGUUUAUUUUUUUUUUUUUCCAAUUUAGAGUAAAAUAAAUUGACAUUUCCUAAACUCAGUUUGGUUCAGAAACUUCCCAUACAGCUUUUGAAACUGCUUUGCUCUCCUCUCAAGUUUCAUACCACUCUACUUUAACAUCACAGAGUCAAUGCACCACUAUCCUUUUGUUCACUGAGAUGAAUACCUUUCCUGAUGUUAAAAUUUUCCUUAUAAAAACAAAAGAGAGGGUCACAAUAGAUCAUAGAUCAUCAAUGAUGUGACUUUUACAUGCAUAAAUUAUAAAAAACUUUCAGAAGUUCGGGAAUUUGUUCUUGGUUAUGUGCAAAUCAUUUCCACACAUAAUAUCGGAAAUCUUUUAGUUUUAAAUAGCUCAAGGUCCACCUGAUUAUCAGAAAACUCUGUGGAGUAAUUCACAUUUACUCCUUAUUUUAUCGUAUCUCAGUUUCUAGCAAUUCCUAAUACUUGAAUGCACGCUCUUCAUAGGAAUGCAUUGGUAGCUUCACAUGCAAUGAGCAAAAGAUGCUUAAAUUCUUUUAGCAACAGAGAUGUUUAGACAGUAUCAUUGAACCUGUAGCUCUCACAACCAGAUUAGCAAUCAAUGCAUUUACCUAGAAGAUAUAGAGUUAUUUCAAAUCUUCAAUACAAAAAGAACACUAAAGUCGUGGCUGUUGCAGGCAAAACAAAUCCUCUGGGGUUUUUGGAGAACAUAGAUUGCUCUUAGCAUUUCGCAACUAGUCUUGUACACCUAUCAGGUAUAUUCAAAUUUCAACUCUUUAAUCUUAUCAAAUCCACAGGAAAACCAGCAGUUCACUCAAUCUCCUUAAUUGAAAUCAAAAUGAGAUUAUUAAGGGCUUGUUUGAUAACUCUACUUAAAUGCUGAAAAUUAAUUCAUUCAGAACUUAUUGAAAUCAAUCUCCCUAAUUGAAAUCAAAAUGAGAUUAUUAUGGGCAUGUUUGAUAAGUCUACUUAAAUGCUGAAAAUUAGUUCAUUCAGAACUUAUUGAAUUCAGCAUGUCUGAUAACAGAAAUGCCUUACCACUUAAUGUAUCAAGCACUGCUUAAUUUCUUUACAAAUUUUAAGUGAAAAAUUUUCACUGAAUUUUCUGAAUUGACUACACAUACUAUAGCUCUCAUACAUAUAACACAUUUUCAUACAUGCUCUCACACAAAAUACCCAUUCUCAUUCUGUUCACACAUGCAUGCAAAUAUACACUCUCCCAUACAAAUAUGCACGCUUAAUCACCAACUCUAAACUGUUUCAUUAUUUUCUCUCUCUCAAACACACACAUUUUUCUUUCUCUCUAAAUACACAAACAAAGGUAAUUUUUAAAAGAUAAAAACAUAAUAUUUUUGCGACAUUUCAAUUCAGCACUACAAUUCAGUUAGUUAUUAAACAGAAAUAACUUAAUCAAUUCAGCAACUUAAUACUCUCAGCACUUAAUUUUCAGACUUCAGAACUCAGAUUUCAGACUCCAGUCUUAUCAAACAGUAGUCUUCCAUUAUAUAAAGAUGGGAACCAUCUAAUAAAGUGGUUUAUCAAGAAUCUUGCAGCUGAAUUGGAAUAAUCUUAAUAAUUAAAGUUUGUGCUGCCUAGAUAGAAAUAAGGGGAAAGAAAAAACUUUAUUUUUGUUUGCAAUGUGGUCCCUUAGAUUACCUGUAAGUGAAGAACAUCAGCUAGUGGAAACCUCUUCAUGUGAGGGAUAGUUAGAAGUUGUGAUGGAGUUUGCCCAAAGUAUGCAAUCUGAUCUUGUGUAGCACGUUGUUGUACCUGUUGAAGAAAUAUGGCAACAUUAGGAACUUGCUUCACAGAAUGAACCACCAAAACUUAAAAUAAUAAGUUAAUGAUGUCAGCAUUGACUUACAGGGUCCAAUAUCUUGUCAAUGUCCACAGUUCCCUCAUAGGUGAUGUAGAAGAAUACAUUGUUAGCCUGUAUAGCUUCUUUUCCCCGUUGCUUAUACCUGAAUGGUGAAAAGUUUGUCCGAAGACCACAUUGAGUAUUAUAAUCCAGACAUUGUUGCUUCCAUUGAUUGCAAGACAGUACAUUUAAGGAGAAACAGAAUAGGAAGAUGAGCUUUCACAAAUAAAGUAAACUUGCCCAAAUAUGAGAUCAAUCCAUUCAUGCAAGUGCGCUGAAACAUGCUCACUCUCAAGAGCCAUUCGGUGCUUUUGAAUGAAGUCAACUGGAUUUUUAGCCCAAGGAGGAAGCCUGACUGAGUCUGACAAAGAAAAGUAGUGAGAAAGGGAUGGGGAAGUAUAUUGUUAAUCAUUCUGUCAGUCGUCCUACCAUUACAUCAUAAUGGAAAAGAAAAUUUACCAAGCUUUUCUCCUAACUGUGUUGUGCCAAAGUCAAUGGAGUUCUCAUUAGUCAACACUUCAGGGAGGUAAAACAGCUCAGGAACCUGAAAGAUGAUAUCCCGGUAAUGUCUCAACUAAGCAAAACCAAACAUGUGCCAGACAAGGACACAUCAUGGCCAAAGAAAAGCAAAUAAAUUACUCCACCCAUAGAUUCUUUACCAAUUCCUUGACGUCACUCAUGUCCUCGAGAACUCCGUUCCAUGUUGCAACAAUAUCAGAAAACAUUCUGUCUGCAUGAUCAAAUUUCCCACCUUGUAGUUGAAUAGAGAGGGUAGUGAAAGGCUCAAGUCGAACAAGAUAAUACAAUACCUGUUAAAAGAGCCUCAAAAAACAUAUUAGACAACAACCAUCAUAAGCUCCAAAAUCUGAGUGCCCAUGUCAGUGAAAAUGUAGAAAUUUUGAAAAAUAUAUAACAGUACAAAAAGGCAGAGACCAUUUAGAAGUCAAAAGCUUAGUGGAUAAAGAAAGCAUAGGUAUGAAAAUUGCAGGUGGAUCAAGCAAUUCUUAUGCAAGCAUGCCACUUUUGAAGUCAGAGUCAGAAAGUGUGUUAAGCGUAUCAUGUUUGGCAUUAUAUAUGUGAAAUUAUGAAAAACAAACUGUAAAAUUAUUUAAGCAAUCUGACUGGAGCCUAGGUCUGGCUCAAGGAAUAAUAUAUUUUUCAUUAGUUUAUUUUGCCAAUUAAAAAUGGCUUAUUUAAUCCACAAUCAGCAGUUAUAACCAAGUUACAACCGAAUAAC
rnacentral:lncRNA from 1 species